UUCCCUACACUACGCUUCUAUUAGAUGCGUUUAGAAAACAGCAAAGUGAACUUUUCACACCAGAAGGUUAGGCCAUUUCAUUUUAAUCAUCUUGAGCUAAACUCUGUCUGCAAGAACAAUUUAAAAGUAUCUUUCUUGACCCCUCAUAUCUACUGAUGACAAACGGUUUGAAUUCAACAAAAAAGUGAUUUUAAAAAUCUACUUUUAAUUUUGCAGUGAGAUUUCUAUUUAACAAUUGUGCGGACUCAUUAACAAAAUGUCUAUAUUUAUUAUAUCUAUAGUUCUCUUCAUCCUGCGUUUAAAAGCUUCUAAUAUUUCCUAAAUAUCUUACAAAACAUAGUAAAUGGCUAGUUAUUUUAAACUUUUACAGCAUGUUAAUUCUGUACUAAAGUUUCCAAAAUGAUAGCCUAAAAAAGACUUAGUCAUUUUGAAAUGUAUGUCUAAGCUAGAUUUAUCGUUAUGGUACAUUUAUGACAAUUCCAUUAAAGAAGCAAAAAUGAAGUAAAAAAUAAUAUAAACGUAUUAAGGCAAUAAUGCAAAUUAGGCCAUUUUUUGUGUACUACAAUAUGUAUUCUGCUUUAUUCCUACCCAAUGCUGACAAAAAGUGUCCCUUCCCUCCAGUGCAGUGAACUGAGUUUGGUUUUUGUAUGAGGGUUUAUCACGGUGAUAGGCUGGGGUGGCACUGUGAUACAGACCCAUACAAAAACCUAAGAGCAGUAAACAUACACUUUCCCAUUCUUACAUUGACCAAAAAAAGGACAGGACAGAACACUUCUUGUUGGAAUAUGCUGUAACUUCUGUGUGUAUCAUUUUACUCGAAAGAUAAAUAGUUAAAACAUGUUUUAAUUGGGAGUUUGAAGAUGCAUCACUGCAUGGAAGCAAAUGCUGUCUGCAGUAAAUCCUAACUUUAAAAACUGAUUUAGAAUCACCACAAUACACAUGCUCAGAAUAUGACAUCAGUGUAUAUUACUCACAAGGUUUACCUCGUAUUUAAUUGAAUUCAUGACGCUUUAGCAGACUUUUGUGGUGCCUCAGGUUUUUGUACAAGCAGUGAGUGGAGAUGCAGCACUGUGAUUAUUUUGACUACUGGGGCCGUGGAACUGCAGUCACAGUUUCUUAUGGAACCAUUGUACCACCGACUCUGUUCCCUCUGGUUCAGUGUGACACUGACUCUGCAAAUACAAUCAGGGUUGGUUGUCUUGCAAACGACUUCACCCCAAAUGCUGUAACCUUUCAGUGGACUGACGCCAGUGGGUCAACCCUGUCAGCUUUACAAUAUCCUCUAAUGGAGAAAAACAGCAAGUAUACAGGAGUCAGUGUACUCGAAGUAUCAAAAUCUAACUGGGAUUCAAGAAAGUCUUUCAACUGUGCUGUGACUCAUUCUGGAACCUCAAAAAGUGUGGAAAUUAAAAAACAAGAUACUCAAUGUCCAAAGAUAGCAUCGAAAGCUCCCAUCACAAUAGAACUGAAAAAAUCAAGUCCCAAAGAAGUGUUCAAUAACAACCAGAUAACGUUUGAGUGUAUCAUCAGUGGAGAGGACGAGGCCACUCUAAAUGCAUUUACAAUCUCUUGGAAAGUCAAUGGAAAAAAUUGGACCAAAAACACUGAAAAUGGGAGGUCCGGAGGAAAAUCCAGCACGAUGAAGCUCAGUGUCGAUGAACUGAAAGAUGCCACUAAUGUGGGCUGUUCUGCCACUGGAAGAAAUGGGGUACCAGUUGAGAAAGAACUGACUCUCCAAACAUCAGGUGGAAAUGUGCCAACAGUAGCAGUCCACACACUCCCAAACAAUGACAUCAAAGAAGACACACCCAUCACUCUGGUGUGUCUGGUCUUCAGUACAGUGCAGCGGGAUUACUACAUCGCCUGGAACAUUGCAAAUAAAACCAUAAACUACCAAGAUGGCAUUGACUUCCCCGCCCAGAAGUCUGAAAAAGGCUACUAUGUUACAAGUAUUUACACCACCAACAAGACAGAUUGGAAAAAUAACAAGUUCUCCUGCAUCGUCUGGUAUCCUGGCAGCAAAGAAAACAUAAGUGAUGUUUCUAGCUCAAUGGAUACAUCCUUUGAAUGCUCAAAACUGAGUUUUCAUCUGAGCUGCACAGAGGGUGCCAUCGAGGAGGAUGACUACAGCAGCCUUUGGUCCACAACUUUGUCCUUCAUAUUCCUCUUCAUAUUCUCUCUCCUCUAUAGCAUGAUAUUCAGCAUGGUCAAGAUGAAGAGACCAUAGAGGGUGAGCUGGGUCCAUCAUAGACAACAAUGACACGUGUUCAACUGCGUGUUUUGUCUUUUUGUUGUUUUUAAGACGUGUAGAUAAUCUAAAUAUACUGUUUAUUUUCUAAAUGAAUUGAUCAUCCUACCAAACGCAUCACAAAUAAAAUUCUAGGAAAUGGAUUUUGUAACUUCAUAAAAAAAAAACAUAUUGCUAUUGUGAAUCAUUUAUAUGAAAACACUUUCCACAAUGCAGAAGGGAAUAAGCUUGUAUCUAUAAUCUGGCAUAUAGCAUUUCUUGUCUUUUUGAGAUGGUAGAUUUUUAUGCAUGGUCCUUCUUCAAUAAUGAUAAAUAAUAUAAUUAAAAAUAUGUAUAGUAUACAAUUAACUGAUUAAGUUUUUGAUACUUUUUCUAGAAAUUC